GGCGCAGUUCGCCGGUCGCGGAGGUCGGCCUGCAAAGCCGUACCGUGCGAGUUCGACUCUCGCCUGCGCUUCCA
rnacentral:tRNA from 1 species